rnacentral:rRNA from 1 species
AUGGAGGUCUCCAAGGCCCCUUCCUCUUCUAGUUUGGCAACCCGCCAGCCCUCCAAAGAGAUUCUUGAGACAUGGCACAAUGCGAAUGAUGUGUGCUUCGAUGUGGAUAGCACUGUAUGCUUGGAUGAGGGUAUUGACGAGCUUGCUGAUUUCCGUGGGGCUAGGCAGGCGGUUGCCGAGUGGACGACAAAGCAAUUGUCACAAUUUCUGGAGUAUGUUAGUUGUUUAGCAUAUAAUAUCUUCCGAAAAACUAAUCUUGGCCUUAUUAUUCUCAGGGUGAUGGGACUGUUCCAUUUGAUGAGGCUCUUGCUGCCUGGAUCUCUUUAA